CGGUAGCACAGAGAGCUUGCUCUCGGGUGACGAGUGGCGGACGGGUGAGUAAUGUCUGGGAAACUGCCUGAUGGAGGGGGAUAACUACUGGAAACGGUAGCUAAUACCGCAUAACGUCGCAAGACCAAAGAGGGGGACCUUCGGGCCUCUUGCCCAUCAGAUGUGCCCAAGAUGGGAUUAGCUAGUAGUGGGGUAACGGCUCACCUAAGGCGACCGAUCCCUAGCCUGGUCUGAGAGGAUGACCAGCCCACACUGGAACUGAGACACGGGUCCAAGGACUCCUACGGGAAGGCAGCAAGUUGGGGGAAUAUUGCAACAANUGGGGCGCAAGGCCUGAUUGCAAGGCCAUGCCGCGUGUAUGAAGAAGCCUUCCGGGUUGUAAAGUACUUUCAGCGGGGAGGAAGGCGAAUAAGGUUAAUAACCUUGUUGAUUGACGUUACCCGCAGAAGAAGCACCGGCUUAACUCCGUGCCAGCAGCCGCGGUAAUACGGAGGGUGCAAGCGUUAAUCGGAAUUACUGGGCGUAAAGCGCACGCAGGCGGUCUGUCAAGUCGGAUGUGAAAUCCCCGGGCUCAACCUGGGAACAUGCAUUCGAAACUGGCAGGCUGGAGUCUUGUAGAGGGGGGUAGAAUUCCAGGUGUAGCGGUGAAAUGCGUAGAGAUCUGGAGGAAUACCGGUGGCGAAGGCGGCCCCCCUGGACAAAGACUGACGCUCAGGUGCGAAAGCGUGGGGAGCAAACAGGAUUAGAUACCUGGUAGUCCACGCUGUAAACGAUGUCGACUUGGAGGUUGUUCCCUUGAGGAGUGGCUUCCGGAGCUAACGCGUUAAGUCGACCGCCUGGGGAGUACGGCCGCAAGGUUAAAACUCAAAUGAAUUGACGGGGGCCCGCACAAGCGGUGGAGCAUGUGGUUUAAUUCGAUGCAACGCGAAGAACCUUACCUACUCUUGACAUCCAGAGACUAGCAGAUUGCGUUUGUGCCUGUCGGAACCU
rnacentral:rRNA from 1 species